UGCAAAAACAAGAAGAAAUGAAGAAGCAGGUCUGUCGCUGGCCCAAUAUCUUCACAGGGCUGAGCCGGUUUGUUGUUGCGCACUGCUGGCGACCCCGCAGAACCCACCAUAAAUCGUUUUCUAUGUGAAAGGCCGUAACGCAGCUGGCAGCACUUGAGAAGAUGUGUGAUUUGAAGGAAGAGGGGAACAGAGCAGAGUCUCCAACAUCCUCCUGUCUGUCUAUGAAGAGUGACUGGUCUAUAGAAAACCUCCAGACUUGAGUAAAGAACCUGGACCCUCAGAAACAAAUUGGAGAGUGGAGCCUUCAGUAUCCAGCUUUCAGUCCACAGUGAGUGACUGCUCCAGACAGUCACCUCCGAACUUCAGUAAUGAACCUGGACCCUCAGAAACAAAGUGGAGAGCAGAGCCUUUAGGAUCCAGCUUUCAGUCCACGGUGAGUGACUGCUCCAGACAGUCACCUCCAAACUUCAGUAAUGAACCUGGACCCUCAGAAACAAAAGCGGAGCCUUCAGUAUCCAGCUUUCAGUCCACGGUGAGUGACUGCUCCAGACAGUCACCUCCGAACUUCAGUAAUGAACCUGGACCCUCAGAAACAAAGUAAGAGUCUCUUUGAAGAUGAUUCAGUUUUUAAUGUUAUCUGGUAAGAUAGAUAGAUAGAUAGAGACUCUAUUUGAUCCUUUGCAGGAAAUUACAAUCUUUUACAGUAGCAGCAAUCACAUUCAGUCCUCACACAUAGACAGCUCAAUCCAUGUAGUCAGUUAGUCAAAAAUAAAAGUCUAAAAAUAAAUACAGUAGAUAAAAUAAUCCGUGAAGUGAACAGUACGCCAAAGAAACUAGAAUAUACUGGAGUCCUAAACCCAAAGAUAAAAUAAAUAACAAUACAAGAAUAAAGCGAAUAAAAUCUGACGUAAUCUGCACUCUGCGCAUGCGUUGGCGUCUGUAGCCACCU